rnacentral:misc_RNA from 1 species
CAGGUGACAUAGCUCAGAAGAAGUUAAAGGAUGUUUGAGUGUACAUGAAAUGUUGGUUGUAUAUCUUAUUUUAUUUCUGACUUGACAGAGAUGAACAAUAAUAUCAGUAACAACAACAAUGUUUUCUCAACACUCAACUUAUGUUCUGAAAAUGUAAGUAAAAUGAAGCAUUGUAAGGAGACUCACCCCAUUGGUUAUGAG